rnacentral:rRNA from 1 species
GACGAACGCUGGCGGCGUGCUUAACACAUGCAAGUCGAACGAUGAAGAAGAGAAACGCGAACUUCGGUUCAAAUUUCACUUCGGAUUAGUGGCAGACGGGUGAGUAACGCGUGAGCAACCUACCUCUUACAAAGGGAUAGCCUCGGGAAACCGUGAUUAAUACCAUAUGACACAUUCAUAAGGCAUCUUAAGAAUGUUAAAGCUACGGCGGUAAGAGAUGGGCUCGCGUCCCAUUAGCUAGUUGGUGAGGUAAUGGCCCACCAAGGCGACGAUGGGUAACCGGCCUGAGAGGGUGAACGGUCACAUUGGAACUGAGACACGGUCCAAACUCCUACGGGAGGCAGCAGUGGGGAAUAUUGCACAAUGGAGGGAACUCUGAUGCAGCGACGCCGCGUGAGCGAUGAAGGAAUUCGUUUCGUAAAGCUCUGUUCUAUGGGAAGAAAAGGACUGUACCAUAGGAGAAAGCCCCGGCUAAAUACGUG